rnacentral:rRNA from 1 species
GACGAACGCUGGCGGCGCGCUUAACACAUGCAAGUCGAACGGAAAGGCCUGCUUUCCCUUGUGGAUUGCGGGUACUCGAGUGGCGAACGGGUGAGUAACACGUGAGUGAUCUGCCCCCAACUUGGGUAUAAGCCUGGGAAACUGGGUCUAAUUCCCGAUAGGACUGCAGGGUGGUGCCUGUGGUGGAAAACGAUUUUCUAGUGGUUGGGGAUGAGCUCGCGGCCUAUCAGCUUGUUGGUGGGGUAAUGGCCUACCAAGGCGGCGACGGGUAGCCGGCCUGGGAGGGUGGACGGCCACAUUGGGACUGAGAUACGGCCCAGACUCCUACGGGAGGCAGCAGUGGGGAAUAUUGCACAAUGGGCGGAAGCCUGAUGCAGCGACGCCGGGUGGGGGAUGACGGCCUUCGGGUUGUAAACUCCUUUCGACCGCGAGGAAGCCACCUGGUUGGAAGGGUGGUGACGGUAGUGGUAGAAGAAGCACCGGCUAACUACGUG